CGGGGAUGAAUAGUGGCUCCCAUACAUGAACUUAGGUUCUGGCAUUUCCUCAUAACGUGUCAAUAAUCUCUCCAGUCUCUCUUUAUUCAGGGCACCAAUUGGUUUACUAAGGUCACGGAAUGUUUCAGGUUUUGUCAGAUCUAAUUCUGCACUAGAGUAGUCUGCUAUGAUCCAGGGAAAUACAGGAUACUGGGAGAGAUCAUUGCAACUCCUAUCAGCCAGAUUGUUGAGAUGAAGCAGAUACUGG
rnacentral:lncRNA from 1 species